GAUGAACGCUGGCGGCGUGCCUAAUACAUGCAAGUCGAGCGAACAGACGAGGAGCUUGCUCCUCUGACGUUAGCGGCGGACGGGUGAGUAACACGUGGAUAACCUACCUAUAAGACUGGGAUCACUUCGGGAAACCGGAGAUAAUACCGGAUAAUAUAUUGAACCGCAUGGUUCAUUAGUGAAAGACGGUUUUGCUGUCACUUAUAGAUGGAUCCGGGCUGCAUUAGCUAGUUGGUAAGGUAACGGCUUACCAAGGCGACGAUGCGUAGCCGACCUGAGAGGGGGAUCGGCCACACGGGAACUGAGACACGGUCCAGACUCCUACGGGAGGCAGCAGUAGGGAAUCUUCCGCAAUGGGCGAAAGCUUGACGGAGCAACGCCGGGUGAGUGAUGAAGGUCUUCGGAUCGUAAAACGCUGUUAUUAGGGAAGAACAAAUGUGUAAGUAACUAUGCACGUCUGGACGGUACCUAAUCAGAAAGCCACGGCUAACUACGG
rnacentral:rRNA from 1 species